UACAGAGGGUGCAAGCGUUAAUCGGAUUUACUGGGCGUAAAGGGCGCGUAGGUGGUUAUUUAAGUGAGAUGUGAAAUCCCGGGCUUAACCUGGGAACUGCGUCUUAUACUGGGUAACUGGAGUGCAAUAGAGGGUAGUGGAAUUUCCGGUGUAGCGGUGAAUGCGUAGAUAUCGGAAGGAACACCAGUGGCGAAGGCGGCUACCU
rnacentral:rRNA from 1 species